rnacentral:rRNA from 1 species
CCCCGCACAAGCGGCGGAGCAUGCGGAUUAAUUCGAUGCAACGCGAAGAACCUUACCAAGGACUUGAUAUACAGGGAAAUCUCGCAGAGAUGUGAGGUCCGCAAGGGUCCUGUACAGGUGGUGCAUGGUUGUCGUCAGCUCGUGUCGUGAGAUGUUGGGUUAAGUCCCGCAACGAGCGCAACCCUCGUCCUAUGUUGCCAGCCGGGUUAUGCCGGGGACUCAUAGGAGACUGCCGGGGUCAACUCGGAGGAAGGUGGGGAUGACGUCAAAUCAGUCAUGCCCCUUAUGUCUUGGGCUUCACGCAUGCUACAAUGGCCAGUACAAAGGGCUGCGAGACCGUGAGGUGGAGGCGAAUCCCAAAAAGCUGGUCUCAGUUCGGAUUGGGGUCUGCAACUCGACCCCAUGAAGUCGGAGUCGCUAGUAAUCGCAGAUCAGCAACGCUGCGGUGAAUACGUUCCCGGGGCUU